GGCCCUGGAGCGCCUGGACCGGCCGCUGCAUCCUGACGAGGUGCGGGCGGCGUUCGCACCGCUGCUCGGCGAACGCUUCAAGUUCAAGUCCUGGCAGGGCCGCCA
rnacentral:tRNA from 1 species